rnacentral:rRNA from 1 species
CAGUCGCCGCGGUAAUACAGAGGGUGCGAGCGUUAAUUGGAUUUACUGGGCGUAAAGCGUGCGUAGGCGGCUAAUUGAGUCGGAUGUGAAAUCCCCGAGCUUAACUUGGGAAUUGCAUUCGAUACUGGUUAGCUAGAGUGUGGGAGAGGAUGGUAGAAUUCCAGGUGUAGCGGUGAAAUGCGUAGAGAUCUGGAGGAAUACCGAUGGCGAAGGCAGCCAUCUGGCCUAACACUGACGCUGAGGUACGAAAGCAUGGGGAGCAAACAGGAUUAGAUACCCCGGUAGUCCCUGUCUCUUAUAC